AUCGGUCAACCUCCUAUGGUGCCUUCCAAAUUCCGCUAUCGAUCGACCUUCUGCCAGAUUCCUUAGACAUCCAGACCUCUCCAGCGGACAGUCUUCAGACAAGCUCCUACAUCAGACAAAUUCCAGAUGAAUUUCCCUAGCAAUCAGACUCCAGUCGAAUUUUUCCAACAAAAAGUUUCCGUCCGAAUUUCUACGACAGAUGACUCCCAUCUACCACAUCAGCACC
rnacentral:lncRNA from 1 species